CGAACCUCUUGCUUGCUUUGUGUUAUUAUGACUGCCAUAGAUACUUGUCGAUUUAAAUCUUUUUGGAUUAUAAAGACAAGAAUGGGCCAUGAAGGCAUAGGAUCAAGAUCCAAAUAUAACGGCAGCCUAUGUUUGUUAAAUUAUUGGUUUUAGAUUCAAGAAAAAUAUAAAACAAAACAUUAUCUCUUUCUAGAAGACAAUUAGGUUAAGACGUCGCUACCGUUCCGAUUUCUCAGCUUUGCAUCUCCGGCGGCCACCAUGGCGUUGCGAGAGGACUCUCUAGAUCCUUUCAUCUCGUUCCCUUGUUUUAUUGUUAGUUAUGUUUGCGAAAAUUUGGCCUUCGAUUGAGGAGUUGCUGAUAAACUCGGGUUGUGAAAGGGUGAUCUUUGCGUAAGCGGUCGAAAGUGGUCAGAUUUACUUGUUUUGAGAUUCUCCUAUUCGGGGUGGAAAUUGCAGUGAAUGAUAGCUGGCUCGUUUUGAUGGUGUUCUUGUUCGCAAGAAGGGUUAUUUCGAGUGGUUAGGCUUGUCUCCUUGUCUUUGCUUUGCAGAUUGGGUAGAUAUUUGAAAGUGUUUUGUAGACUUCUAUCUAUGCGUAAAUUGGUGGCGUAAGGGUCGUUAUCGUCGUCACAUCUAGAAGUGGUUGAGGUUCAACUAGUGUCUUUGCUUGCUGGGUUAUGAAGGUCUUGGUUUCUUCGUUUGGAGAGGUCGGCUCUCAUGUUGAUAGGAGGAAGUGGUUGUUAUCUUUGGUUUGCCGAGGGCAUCACUGAUAAAUCUCAUUCUUAGGAUCUUCAAAAGAAGAAGUUGAAUUGUGGAAUUUAUGCUAGCUUACUAUGAAGAUUGAAGUCUUGUUGCUAUUA